UGCGUUUUUACUCUCAGUCUGCUAUUGUUUGGCUCUGUCGCGUCGCUGCCGAAGUGGCCCGCCGGCUGCAUGGAUUCGCUGGAAGAGCUGGUUUUGAGAACGCCACAAUAGCGCAGUCGACGCUAGCAGAGGCAGAGGCAGCAAAGAGAACGCGAGAGAGGGCCCAUGCAAUCCAUGGCGGAUGCUUAAUCAGGCCCGCUGAACACUGUUCGCUCGCGUCGUGUUCCCACUGUCGAAAAAAUCUCCGGACGGAAAGGCUCGCCGUCGCAAAACAUAGAAACUACGGUCUAUUCGGUCCUAGGUUUCGGUGGUGCUCGCAGCUCGAGCGCGUGUGCAUUUUGUCGUCUCUCGGAGCAGCAGCGCAGCACAAGUACUGCCGCAGAAACUGAACGUUAAAUUGCAACAUUUUCGAAAACAAUACAAAUCACUGUUUUUGAAAUAUCUAAAACAGCCGCACUUUUAUACCAUAUUCGUAUUUUCGUCUAUAUAUACAUAUACAUAUAUAUAUAUAUAUUGUCGUGUGGAAAUGUGCAUUUGAUGCAACAACAGCAGAAGAUUUUGCGGCAUUAAAAAACUUUAAUUUAUUAUUUCACUUUUGUUUGUGUUCGGGAAGCAAAUGCGAAAAUUGUGAAAGUGAUUUUUCCGACAAGUGAUUAAAGCCAAAUGUCACUGUGAAAAUGCAUCUACAAACUAAUCACAAUUCAAAUUU